rnacentral:lncRNA from 1 species
GCCACAAUUCAGAGCAACUCUAUUUGAAAGGAAAUAAACUAGAAAUAUAAAAAUGAGCGGAAGCUACACUAUUGACUAUGCCUCUUCUCUAAAUACGUCCGACCACAACUAUGCAAUCCUGCAAACUGGGCAUUUUGAAAACGAAGAGCCCAGGGGAAAACAUAUGAAAACGAAACGUUAGAGUGAGUGGACAAAAAUAAAUUUACGAAUAAAAUAUUUGUUUCCCCGAAACAAUUUCCAAAGAAAAAUCGAAUGCAUGCUGCAAGCGAUAAACUUUCAUCUCAUAAUAUCGAGCCUCUCAGGCUCUAACAUAUAUGUAUGUAUUUACACACGUCCAUACUCCCUAUAUAAAUUCAUGAGUCUAUAUAGGGCUACUACGCUCGCGUCCAACGCUCACGUCACGCCUUAAUGCGGUGCUACACUACGCCAUUAAGGUGGACAGACACAUAUGGCUAGCUAGCAUUUAUAUACAUACUCUCCUCAAUAUACAUAUUUAUACUCACCGAAAAAUCCCAUUUUUCGGUAACUCUCCAAGAGAAAUAAAAGCGUCAAAAUUAAAUGACGUCUAAACUCCAACAAUUUAAAUACUCGACCAUGAACCAUAGCAUGCAUAUUAUUUAAAACAAAAGUCCACUCACAGUAUUAGGCCUAAGCCUUCCAAUGCUCGGCAUACUCCUCGAGCGCUGCCUCCACUAUUCACAAUCUCGAGUCAAUCCCACGUCUGAUGAUAAACAGCAGAAUAAAUCGGUCAAACCAGAUUCCGAAAUAAUCAUUGAUUCGUCUUCUUCUUAAAUUGACUAAGUAUCCUAGGUUGACCAGGAUUGACCGACAUAUAUUAAUAAUCAAUUCCGACUAAACUUCGCAACUAUAACUUAUUCGGAAUGAACCUUAACCUAGAAUCAAAGUCACCAUCAAUUUCCAUGCCUUAACACAUUAACCAAAAUACUUCCAAAAUUAUUUUAUGAUCCCCUACGAUCAACAUGCUCACAAACAAUACCAACAAUUUCCUUCAUUUCCUCUCUACACAACUUUACCCUAAAAUUUACUAAGGGCACCCAAACAGGUUUCCAUAAAUAGAAAGUUUCCAAAAAGGGAAAGUCUCCCUAAAUAGAAACUUCCCUAAAAUGGCAGAUUUUACUAAACCAGGAAUUACGACUUGAAUUAGAAAGAAUAACCUCAAGAACUACCUUCUCGGCUCUCUGCCGGAUCUGCUGUUUCGUCGGAACCCUCAUUGGAUUCCGGUGACCUGCCGGAAUAGUUCGCCGGAUUCCGGCGACUUACUGGAAUUUGGCCAUAGCCUCCCCAUAAAUUCUAAAUCACCAAGUUAUCGACGACAACAACCAAAACAUUCAUAUUAGCAACCAUACUCCAAACGAUCCAACAUAGAACAACACAACAACAACAUAGCAGCAACCUAGCUGCGCAGAUUUUAUUCCUUACCUUCAGUCCGCUCAAAACCCAAACCCAGAAAUUCC